GCGGCCGCCGGGCCAGUAGUACAUUUUUACAGAAAAAUACAAUUAUAGGGACUAGGAGGUUGUAAAAUGUAUACAUAAAUAACUUGUUUUGGCUGUUAAGCGUAUCUUUAGGCACGUAAAAAGUAAGUAAAUCGCUCUAGAAAUCUGAAGAAUGCUUACUCGGCAAAACCAUCAGUUGGGUUUGGAGAAGAAAUUUCAACGAAGACGUCUUGUGAGAACUUGAAGACAUGAGUAGACGAAAGUGCCUGGCAAAUCCCACUGAUGUGCUUUGUGCGUCUGAACAGAAACCACUGCAGUGAGGCUUGACAUGAUUAUUCCUCAUUCAUUGCCUGCCAGCCUGCCACCCUGCCCAGCCCUCACCCAAAAACAUCACAAGAUGAAGGUGAUCAGUUGCAGCAUUUGCAUAGUAUGAAGGAGUAACGCAACCAAGUGAUCAAUGUAUUCAAAAAGAGUAGAUGAGAGUGCCUGGCAAAUCCCACUGAUGUGCUUUGUGCGUCUGAACAGGUGUGUAGUGUUUCUUAUUUGAAGUUUCAAUGUUAAGAAGAUGCAAUGCCAGUCUGCUUGAAUGCCAGAAAGCACGAAAAGCUAAGGCGGAAUCUACUAGAGCUCUAGCAUUCUCUUGUCGUAUGCAGUCCUCUGAUGGCCUUUGUUGAUAUUGUUUAGCACUAGAUGAAGUAUGUUCUGUAAAAUGAAAAAUACACCGCCUGAUAAACACGCUGGGAGGGAGAAGGGGUAGCUUUAGGCUCUUUCGUGAUGUGAGAGACUCUCGUCUAAACGUAAAUAAGAGAACCUUGCUUAUGCCGUCUAACCUUGUCUUAAGUUGUCAAACCUGUCAUUCCUAUUAUUUUCUUGUUAUCACAGUAUAAAUCUAUUAACUGAAAUGUCUGUCAUUUAUUUACAGAAACCACUGCAGUGAGGCUUGACAUGGUUAUCCCUGAUUCAUUGCCUGGUAAUACAGUGGAGAAACGUUGUAAGACUGUCUGCCAGCCUGCCACUCUGCCCAGCCCUCACCCAAAGCAAUCACAAGAUCAAGAAUGAGCUCCUGCUGUUGACGGACAUCCACCAGGCUGUGCAGUGACUGCUGACCAAUAAGGGUUGAAAGGACGGGUAGAGGAGUGGAGGUGGACAUGGAGCCCUUUGUGUUCGACUUCGAAAUACAAGAGGACAUGGAGGACUUCUCGAAGGACUGCCAGGCCGUACUGGCAACAUGUGCCCACCCUAACACUCACACUUUCCCUAAAGUUUUGGUAUCAAGGUCUGUGUCUGGCAGUGCAAUGAACUUGCGCACACCUAGUGGUGUUGCGGUAAGCAACCACUUGGCCAACUGAAACAAAGAUGCGAGGCGAAUUAAUUGUUAUUACCAAAAUAUUGUCAGCAUUUCAGUGCAACAGUGUUUAGAUAAGUACCUAAUAAGCUAGUUGAGCCUGUGGGUUUGUAUUCGAUUUACAACGGCUAACACUCAUAAACAAACAAACACACACCCACCCACACACACACACACACACACACUCCCAACAUUUCCUUUGACUCUCCCACACACUCCAAAACAACUCCAGUUGAGAAAAUGUUCUUUUCUAAUCUCACCAUUACGGUCUUCCUGGAUGAUAUCAGAAUAACAGCCACUCUUGGAAAUGUGUAGUAAAUGUUUUAUUUAUGUACACGUUUAUACUUCAGUUGUUUUCAUUUAGUAUUGUGUUUGCUUUCUUAUCUUAACAAAUAAGAUGCUUCAGAGGCUGAGAGUGCACAUAGUUAAAUGUCUGCACAUAUGUAAUUAUUCAUAUUUUAAUUAAAAGUUUAUUUUUGUGUUUUUUUUGUUUUGUUUGAUUGUCCUGGUCCGUCUUUGGUGGAUUUAAAACUGUGUUUGUCUAAUAAACAAAUUUGAUUUAAUUGAACCAAUUGAAAACAUAGGCUACUUUGGCCUUCCCUUGUCUUUUCCAUUUGGCUAAGUCUUUAAACAGUAAUAUCUGCUAGAAGUAGACCUAUCUACCGGGAGUUGUGGAUGUUUGGGCGCCCUUUGUUAUCAUGACAAGUUUAAAUCAAAGAAAGAUGCAUUUUAUGUUUAUAUUUGGGUUAUCUUAGUUUAACAUGCAGCCUAUGUGAUUAAUCAAAGGUAAGUGCAACAAUACUCAUUAUUUCAAGGUUCUUUGCCGUGAAUUUUAAAGA